CUCAAAGGAAUUGACGGGGACCCGCACAAGCGGUGGAUGAUGUGGUUUAAUUCGACGCAACGCGAAAAACCUUACCUACCCUUGACAUGCCAGGAACUUGCCAGAGAUGGCUUGGUGCUCGAAAGAGAACCUGGACACAGGUGCUGCAUGGCCGUCGUCAGCUCGUGUCGUGAGAUGUUGGGUUAAGUCCCGCAACGAGCGCAACCCUUGUCAUUAGUUGCUACAUUUAGUUGGGCACUCUAAUGAGACUGCCGGUGACAAACCGGAGGAAGGUGGGGAUGACGUCAGGUCAUCAUGGCCCUUAUGGGUAGGGCUACACACGUCAUACAAUGGCCGAUACAGAGGGCUGCCAACCCGCGAGGGGGAGCUAAUCCCAGAAAAUCGGUCGUAGUCCGGAUCGCAGUCUGCAACUCGACUGCGUGAAGUCGGAAUCGCUAGUAAUCGCGGAUCAGCUUGCCGCGGUGAAUACGUUCCCGGGUCUUGUACACACCGCCCGUCAC
rnacentral:rRNA from 1 species